GCCUGGCAGGCUCAGUUGGUAGAGCAUGUGACUCUUGAUCUCAGGGUCAUGAGUUCAAGCCCCAUGGUUGGGCA
rfam:Felis catus isolate Cinnamon breed Abyssinian chromosome B1, whole genome shotgun sequence.